rnacentral:misc_RNA from 1 species
GGAUGAAGAACGCAGCGAAAUGCGAUAAGUAAUGUGAAUUGCAGAAUUCAGUGAAUCAUCGAAUCUUUGAACGCACCUUGCGCUCCUUGGUAUUCCUCGGAGCAUGCCUGUUUGAGUAUCAUGAAAUUCUCAAAACAAAUCUUUUGUUAAGUCAAUUGGUUUGCUUUGGAUUUGGAGGUUUUUUUUUGCAGAUUUACUUCUGCUCCUCUUAAAAAUAUUAGCUGGAUCUCAGUAUAUGCUCGGUUCCACUCGGCGUGAUAAGUUAUCACUCGCUGAGGACACUGUAACAGGUGGCCGGGAAAUGCAGAUGAACCGCUUCUAAUGGUCUAUUUAUUUAGACAAAUUUAUUUCAAGAUCUGAUCUCAAAUCAGGUAGGACUACCCGCUGAACUUAAGCAUAUCAAUAAGCGGAGGA